ensembl:lncRNA
AAGAUAUGCCGAGCGCACUCACUUUACACUCUCUCUGGAACUUUCAACGUGCCUCAGGGAUCAGGACCUGAUGGAGGAGGCCUGAGAAGUUUCCCAGAGACUAUGGGUUGAGGAGGAAUUGGAAGUUUGUCGGCUUAGACCUGGUGUCAUUCCAUCAGUGUUAAACUUCCCGGCUCAUCUUGGAAGAGUAUGUGCCAGAAAGACCAUGACCAAGCAGCCUUGAGAUCUUAGGCAGCGUCUCCCUGAGGUGGGUGUCAACGGUGUUCACAGUCAGGUCUGUGGUAAUCCUGUCAAAAAACAAAACAGAAAAAAAUCUAGAUUAUAAAUCAACAUGUAACCAAAGCACUCUGUGUAUAACGCCAUAGUAUAGGAUGUAGUUCAGAAAAUGUCAAAGUAUAGUAUGCUUUACUCAAGAAUAACAUAGUAUGGCCUGUAGUUCAUAGUACAGCAUGUUGGCAAGGAAAAAAAAAAACAUAGAUUAUUAUGUGGUUCAAAAAGCGCAAAAUGAUAGGAUGUUGCCUAAAAUUGUCAUGUAUGAUAUGUGGUUCAAAAAAUGUCAUAAUUUAGUAUAUUGUCAAAAUAGUAUGUAAUUCAAGAAAACAUCAGAGUAUAUGUCAUCUAAAAAAUGCCAUAGAAUAAUAAUUUCAUUGCACAAGUAAAAGUAUAGAAAUUUUUAAAAACUGUUUGAAUUCUUAUGUUGCUAAAAAAAAACCCAAAAAAACUAAAACAGUCACAAUAAUAUGUCAGUUAAAAAAGCCUAUAGUAUAGCGUGUCGCCCAACAAACAUCAUAGUAUAGCAUGUCACUCUAAAAACAUCACAGUAUAGCCUUUAGUCCACAGCUGUCAGUAGGUGAGGAGCAAAACAGAAACAGUCCAAACGCUGGUUUCCAGAGGGUUAGUUGAGAAUUUAUUUGAAAGAGUAAGUUUACAACAACACAACAUGUGAGGGGGUUAAAAACAAAUGGGUGUUAGUAAAAUAAAAAUAAAUUAACAGAACUAAAAGUGAACUUCAUGUUGACAUUGAUGGGCAUUCCAACCAGGAACAGAGUAAAAGAUAAUCAAUAGGGGAAAAAACCUCUUUCUGUUCACCUCUUAAAACCCCAAAACACACCGCAUGGGUUCCCUGUUUUCCUUUGUGAACAAUUCAAAGGUCCCUCUCUAUCUCCCCACACAUCCACCAACCACUGGAACACAUCUCCAAAGUUCUGUGGGGCCAGCUCAGCUUCCCCUCAGAAGAAGUGCGUCCACCUGCCAGAUGAAGGAGCCUUUUGAGAGGCAGCUGGCAUCGUGAUUGGACUGUACGUUGGUCUGUUCCAAUCCAGCUUCAGCUCCAGAGACGGCAAGCGGGACGAGUCAACGGAGGCCGGAUGGACGAAGGCAUGCAGCUGAGUACAAUCCAGAAAACAACAGAGGAGGAAUGCAGCGACCCAGGGCCAGAACAAAGAGUAGUAUAGUAUGUCUCUUAGAAAACAUCAUAGUAUAGCCUUUGGGAUGAAAAAACACCAUCAUAUACAUCGUAGAUUGUACAAAUAACAAGUCAAAGGAAAGAGACAUACAUUGUAGAAUUGUAGUAAUUGUGGGCUGACGGAUUUACUGAUUAUCAGUAUUUGAUUUUGUACUGAUUUACAGUAAUAAAUACAUUUAAAA